AGCGCGCGGGGUGGGGGAGGAAGAAGAGAGCGCACUCACGCAAGCGCGGGCGCGACACUCACCCAUAGCGUCGCCGAUCCCUCAAACGCUUGUUGUAGUCGUCUCUCGCCGACCCCCCCCUCCCCUCUAUCUCUUUCUCAGGGGGAGGGCCACCGAGUUCCGGGUCCGGUUAGAUAACCGAGCGGCGGGGCACAAGUACGAUCGGGGCCUUCGAACCAGCUCCACCGGGUCAGAUGGCGAGGCACCGGGAAGGGGUCAUAGAGUUUUUACAGCUUGGUAAAAAGUCCUUCAGACCAUCAUGUUGGCCUGGUCAUCAGUCAUCAACCUAAAUAUUCUAAUCCCACUUUACAGUUCUUGACUCCAGUGAAGAUGACACCCAUCCCUCUUGGGAGAUGAAGGACUGUGUUCAAGGUACAUGUCGCUUCUGUAUUGUUUUGAACAGUGUGGCAUCAAGUCUAAAGAGCUGGAAGGAUCCAUACAAGAAGGAACUUUGUGGAGAGCACUGACCUUUUUGUUAAUUUUAAGAAGGUUUGAUGUCACUGUAUCAUUGCUGCUUGUGAAGAACAUGAAGGAGCAGUAUCCGUCCAUGCGGCGACCUGGAUCAGUGGGCCGAGGAGUGGCAGAUGGAGUUUAAUUUAGAUAAAUGCAAGGUCUUGCUUUUUGAAUACUCUGAAUCUUUAUUGGAAUGCUGUUCCUUGGGCAUCUUCACUUUCUGCAUUAUGGUCAUCCUUUAAGCUAUAGAGAGCUUAAAGAAAGCUGCAUCAUUGGAUUUUCCCCCUCAGGAGGAGGUUAAAGUUCACGUGUUACUAUUCUGAAGAGAUGCUAGGUGAAUCUUCCUGAAGCCCUAGCUAAAUUUAUCUCUCAACCAACAUUUUUAAAACAAUUCUGAAGAAGGGUCACUGGACCUGAAACGUUCACUCCGCUGUCUCUCGACAGAUGCUGCCAGACCUAUUGAGUUUUCCCUGCAAUUUCUGUUUUUGUGUCAUUUAAACAGAUUAUCCGACCAUUAUUCCAUUGCUCUGUAUGUGGGAGCUUACUCUGUACAAAUUGACUGCCAUGCUUCUGUUACAACAGAGACCACUGUUCAAAAUUUCUUGAUUGUUUUCUAUAGUUCUUUGGAAUGAGCUGAGGUCAUCCAAGCUGCUAUGUUCCUUUAUUGCGUUUACCAAACUACUGACUUUCCUGUGUAAGGUAUUCCUGCUCAAUGCAAUAGAAUUUUAUUAGUCAGGGCCUGAUUACCACCAGGAUUUUAUGGGACAAAGCCUUGAUUGGGAUGUUAAAAUUAUAUAAUGUUCUUGAAAAAA